AAUCCAAAGAUUCAGUGACUUAAGGGAGUCAAAGUUUAUUUCUUGUUUCACAGGAAGGUACAGAUGGAUGGCUGUCCCUGGCAGCUCUCUCUGACCAUGUGGGCUCCUUUCACUGGGCACAACUUGGAGUCAAUUGCUUGCAGUUUUGUAGAUGAAGAAGAGAAAGCAAAAAGGACAUCGGGAUCUUACAUGACCAGGCUGAAAGGAGGCACCUACCUUUUGCCUCUAUUCAAUCUGUCAGAAGUCUGUGGUGUGACCAACCCGACUGCAAAGACAGGACUGAGAGGCAUUCGUGAAGACCGAAAGGCACACAGAAGCCCCAUGUUCGACUUUCAGAGGAUCACCGAUGUCACUUUUUUUUUUUUUAAAUCUGCGUGAAGGAUGGCAUCUUGAAAUUUUCCAAACUGGGAAACCAACUCAGCAGACAAACAACCUGCUCAUAGUCAAAUCACCCAAUCAGGCCAAGGAGGCCACGGCACCUGGGCCUCCUGACUCCCAGCAUCCCUCUCCAACAAGCGACUCACACUUCUAAAAAGGUGACAUUUUAGCAGUCUGUUUAUAAACUGCCAAAGGAACAUUUAUCAUGAGGUGCAAACAAAAGAGGCACUGGAGAGGGAUGUUUUUCUGUGGGCUUUUCAGAACUGGAAACACACCUCCCAGACCUCCCCAACACCUCCUGUUAGCUGACUCAGCCCCUCUGCUAUCAGCAGAGUGCCUUUCAGCAGAACAGGGGCCCCGAAGGAAGACAGGUGCUGAGGGAAACUAGGGCUGGCAGGUCCAGGGUAGCUGGCAUGUCAGAAUCCUCCACAACUGUGUCCAAAGGAUUAUUAAAAGAAUAUGCUGAGGGGAAAUUUUUCUGAUUAGAGCAGGAGACAAGAGUUCAGGAGGUCAUGGAAUUGCUGAGGGAAAACACCCCUGACUGACUCUAGGCGCCCCCAGCAUUAUAUUAAAUUUUGACAGGCUACCCAAGAUGGAAAAACAAAUAGACACUUCCUUCAACAAGACGGUGAUAAAUCAAGUUGUUCUCCAUGCCCAGUGGCCCCUGAAGCUCAGACCUAAGGAGUGCUGUGCUGUAUUCUCUGGUGAUUUAUCCAGCUUGCUGUCUGCCAACUCUUUGGGGAAAUACCAGAAUCAGAAGUUAAUGUCCUGAGUAGCAGCUACCAUGAGAACAUUACUCAUUAACUUGGAAAACCUGAAAGUAAUCAGAAAGAUCUGGCUCCAGCCUUGAUGCCAGACAAAUAUGGAGCUGGCUGUCUCAUUCCCAUGGAGGUCACAGGCCAGGCCAUCCGUGACAGCAUGGGCAAUAAACCAAACCAGUGGAUCAACCAGGCUUGGGUGAGUACUGUUGAAGCUCAGAAGGGUGCAGAGCUACAAGGUAUUCUGAGCAUCACAGCAUGUCCCCCAAUACUGGACUCAGUCAAAUGUUUAUGGCCAAUGUACGGACCUGAUCCACCUUAGAUCCAAGCACCUGUGGGCCACCCCGGACUAGGUACCAUGCAGAUUCCCUCUGUCCUCCUCCCAUUCCCUCCCUUUUUCCCUCUCUCUUUUGUCUUUCCUCCCCCUCCCCUCUUUCUCUCUCUGUUCUUGCUCUCUCUCUAAUUUCUCUCAACCAACAAAUGGAAGUGAAGGCUUAAGGGGGCAGAGAUGGGAGUCAGACAAAUUCUGUGCUGUUCUGGGAAAGGGGAGAGACAAACACCUUAUGCCCCAUCAGUUAAAAGCUGCUUGGAGUAGUGGCGCCUGGGUGGCUCAGUGUGUUAAGCGGCCGACUCUUGAUUUCAGCUCAGAUCAUGAUCUCAGGGCCCUGGGAUCCAGCCCCGUUCAACAGAGAAUCUGCUCCAAGAUUUUCCCUCUUCCUCUACCCCUCCCCCUGCAUGUUCUUUCCCUCAUUCUCUCAAAUAAAUAAAUAAAUCUUAAAAAAAAAAAAAAAAAAGAGCUCUUAGAGCCACCGCUUUCAGGCUGGGGCAGGUAAGCGACGCAGCGAAGUCUCGCACUGACAUAUUUGUUUACAUGACUGCUCCUUCCUAAGCUGUGGGCAUCUUAAAGACAAAACCUAGGUCUUCAAGUCUUUCAAAACAAUAUGUGUUUUUCUCUGACUAUGAAAAAAAAUACAUGCUAAUUAGAGGAAAAGGAAAAUACAAAAAAAGAUCUUUUCAAAAGUAGCUUUUAGAAUAGUAUUUGGAACAAAACAGGGACUCAAUAAAAUUGUGUCGGAGAGAGGUCAAAAAGGGGAGGAGAGGUCAAGGAUAGGCGAACUGUGACAUCAGUCUCUUCAUUAGAAUGCACAUAAUUCAGCAGCGGCCGCGUGGAGGCCGUGAGUCAUGAGGCGCAGAGCUGCAGAGGGGUUCUGUGUGGGGCUUCGGCUUCGCGACUUCCUCUAGCUCUGGACACCAGCCCUGCUUUGGGGCUCCUGUGUUAGAGUUUAUCGGGCGGUCUACAGUGAAUUCGCUCCACAGCCAGAAACUGGGAUUAUUUAGCCUGGAGAAGGGAAGCCUCAGGAACAAUUUAGCAAUUGCUCUGGUGCUAUCAAUUCCGUUAGCGAAAAUAAUUAUGUUUAUUAGGAACCAAUUGGGGCAUAGACAUGAAUCCCCGGGAGUUGGUCUUGUUGAUAUUUGGCACAGCUCCCCAGGCACGUUUCCUAGACGUACACUUUUGUCGUUUGGUGUUUUCUGUCAGUGGAGUCAUGCUCAGUCUCAGCAGGGGCAUGAGUUAUCAGUGGCCAGGAAACCCAUGUAGUGAGCCUGGCCUUGAAAAAGACAGGAUGGAGGAGCAUAUAAAAUGCCAAAAUGCAUGGCAUGCAGGGUAGGCAAGCAUUGUUUCAGGCAACCUUCAUGUCAGUGAUAAAAAUACAUCUGGGCAUCCUGGGUCGAGAUGUCAAAUGAACUGUUUACUGUGGGCUGUGGUGAAAUGGUUUGAAAACCACCAUAGAAUAUUUCUUUCUGUUUGUUCCACUGACCAAUUUAACAGAAAAAUGGUUAUAUGCUAUUUAUUACAUAUUAACAAUAAUGUCAUUGUAAUUAGU
rnacentral:lncRNA from 1 species